CACGUGGGGGGCGAGCGUUAUCCGGAUUUAUUGGGUUUAAAGGGUGCGAGGGCUGUUCGUCAAGUCAGAGGUGAAAUACCACAGCUUAACUGUGGAACUGCCUUUGAUACUGGCGAGCUGGAAUACGGAUGCCGUGGGAGGAAUGAGUAGUGUAGCGGUGAAAUGCAUAGAUAUUACUCAGAACACCGAUUGCGAAGGCAUCUCACGAAUCCGUCAUUGACGCUGAGGCACGAAAGCGUGGGGAUCAAAC
rnacentral:rRNA from 1 species